rnacentral:rRNA from 1 species
GUCCACGCUGUAAACGAUGAGAACUAGAUGUUGGGGUAUAACCCCUCAGUGUCGCAGCUAACGCGUUAAGUUCUCCGCCUGGGGAGUACGGCCGCAAGGUUGAAACUCAAAGGAAUUGACGGGACCCGCACAAGCGGUGGAGCAUGUGGUUUAAUUCGAUGCAACGCGAAGAACCUUACCUGCCCUUGACAUCCUCGGAAUCCUGCAGAGAUGUGGGAGUGCCUUCGGGAGCCGAGAGACAGGUGCUGCAUGGCUGUCGU